AUUAGCGGUCAUAGCGGCAGGGCCACACCUGGUCUCAUUCCGAACCCAGAAGUUAAGCCUGCCAGCGAUGUUGUCUGCACUGUUCUUUCGAACGGAGCGGCUUAUACGCUGCUAAUC
rnacentral:rRNA from 1 species